AGCCAUGUGUUAAGCACAAAGCGAGCUAUUCUUUCGCCUUUUACUAAAGAAUACCGUGUGCUUGUCACUCUCAAUGGCAUACGCUAAUUCUUGUAGAGUUUUUCUUUUACAGAAAAC